rnacentral:rRNA from 1 species
GUCUACAGCCAUACCACCCUAAACACGCCCAAUGUCGUCUGAUCUUGGAAGCUAAACAGGGUCAGGCCUGGUUAGUACUUGGAUGGAAGACAGAUCUUCAGAAGAGACUGCUCAGAGACUAACAAUUUGUAGACA